rnacentral:rRNA from 1 species
AUUACAGGUUUCUGUAGUUCAAGAUUAAAGGCAAGAAUCAGGCAAAUAUGAUUAUGAGAACAAGGCUAAUGAUGGAGAACCUUCAUCUACGGAAGCUGAGCAGUCUAUUGGGAAAACUAAGUUUCAAUGUGCAUCCUGAGUUUCAGCUACCUGAAAUCAAAGGCCAAUUUCAGUCGAUCCCGAAGUAAACUACCACAUAAGACAAGGAACAGGACACAGUUAUUUUCUGGAUUUCCAGAAGACAAGGACCAGGACCACAGCAAACAUCCUGAAUUUGAAGAAAAAAGUACUGAUGCAACCAUGGAAGGGGUGGAAGAUUAACUGUGGUCAUUUGGCGUAAAAUAUUUGACGAUGGUUUUUUCUCCCAAACUGGCAAGGUUCUACUUGGUACUGAUUGCCAUACCUACACUGUUGGAUCCUUUGCCCAACUUGCAACUGGAAACGUGAAACAGUGAUGCAGAUUUUGUGAUAGAUCUGGAAAGGCCUUUCGGAAGGUGUGCAAACAUGUAUCAUUGUUUCAUUGGAAAUGGUAUAACAAUGGAAAUAAUAUGUACGAACCAAUCUUUGCAACGAACAAUAGUGCAUAUAUUGAGUGUUGUGUCAUAUUAGCACCCUUUCCAUUCUGGUGCGAUAAAUAUAGGUUCUUAGCAUGUUUUUACUUUCUGUCAUGGACAUCUGUCUCUUUGUCAUAACGUAGUGAUAUGUCUUCAACGUAUCUAUAAUUUUUUAUUGUUCCAUGCUAUUAUAUUAUCCAUCUAGGAUGUUUUAUAUGCAUUUAUAUGCUAUUUUAUAUGAUUUUUGGGACUAACCUAUUAACCUAGAGCCCAGUGCCAGUUUCUGUUUUUUUCUUGUUUUUGAGUUUUGUAGAAAAGGAAUACCAAAUGGAGUCCAAUUGAUGUGCUAAUUUUUGAUGAUUUUUUAUGGACCAAAAGAAGCCCCCGGAGUAAAAGAGUUGGGCCAGAAGAGUCUCGGGCCAUCCACGAGGGUGGGGGACGCACCUACCCCCUGGGCGCGCCCCCCUAUUUUGUGGACGACUCGGAGACCCCCCUGACGUGAGACCUACGCCAAAAAUUCCUAUAAAUACAUAAACCCCCGGAACAUAACCUAGAUCGGGAGUUCCGCCGCCGCAAGGCUCUGUAGCCACCAAAAACCAAUUGGGACCCUGUUCCGGCACCCUGCCGGAGGGGGGAAUCCCUCGCCGGUGGCCAUCUUCAUCAUCCUGGCGCUCUCCAUGAUGAGGAGGGAGUAGUUCACCCUCGGGGCUGAGGGUAUGUACCAGUAGCUAUGUGUUUGAUCUCUCUCUUUCGUGUUCUUGAUUCGGCACGAUUUUGAUGUAUCGCGAGCUUUGCUAUUAUAGUUGGAUCUUAUGAUGUUUCUCGCCCUCUACUCUCUUGUAAUGGAUUGAGUUUUCCCUUUGAAGUUAUCUUAUCGGAUUAAGUCUUUAAGGAUUUGAGAAUACUUGAUGUAUGUCUUGCAUGUGC